CCAGAAGCUAAAGGAUUCGCCGCCCACGAGCACCGUACCACGGAUCUCCGACGAGGGAGCGCCCACCACCCAUCGGAGAAUUGCCCAACGCCGAUCAAAAACGAAGCCGACCACCGUAUUCUCGCUAUGCUCGUCGGGUGUUCGACAAAAUGUUUAAACCGAAUAUACAUGCUAAGGAGAUUUAAUAUACUUGUCGUAAGUAUUUGGGGUUUUGCAGAAAAGAUGAGUUACCAAGCCAAUGAAAACCAAAUGCAUUUGGAUUUGUACACCGGCGCGCAACAUCAACUUUGGAUUCUAUACUCGGAACAUUUCUCUAUUAGGAUUGUUGUAGGUGAUGCUAAAUUUUGUAAGCAGCAAAGUAUUGUGAAAUUAUUGUAGUUUAAACACUGUUUGGUUUAAACUACAAUAAUAGAUGUAGCUUUUAAUCUACAACCAAAAAACAAGCAUGUACUGCUUUUAAUCAAUAUAUUACAUUAAGGAUAGAUGUAGCCUGAAGA